CAAGCAGAUCGGGUGGUCGCGGGCGCGCGGCCUGUGAGGCGCGACGCGCCUGAGGAAAGUCCGAACUCCACAGGGCAGGGUGCUGGGUAAUCCCCAGUGGGGGCGACCCUAAGGAAAGUGCAACAGAGAUUAGACCGCUUCCGUGCCCAGGAGGCAUGAGCUUCCGGCGGCGCGCAAGCAAGGGUGAAACGGUGCGGUAAGAGCGCACCAGCGGCCGGGCGACCGGUCGGCUAGGCAAACCCCACCCGGAGCAAGACCAAAUAGGAGGGAUAUAAGGUGGCCCGCCUUCCCCUCGGGUACGGUCGCACGAGGCUCGGGGCGACCCGAGUCCAAGACAGAUGACCACCCUCGACAGAAUUCGGCUUACAGAUCUGGUUGCUUG
rnacentral:RNase_P_RNA from 1 species